rnacentral:rRNA from 1 species
GUAUAUUAAAGUUGUUGCGGUUAAAAAGCUCGUAGUUGGAUUUCUGUCAAAGGUGAGGUGGUCCAUCUUAUGGAUGUGUAUCUACCCAUGCCUUGGCAUCUUCUUCAAGAACGCUUUCGCGCUUCAUUGCGUGAUGCGGAAUUGAAGACUUUUACUUUGAGGAAAUUAGAGUGUUCACGGCAGGCAAUCGCUUUGAAUACAUUAGCAUGGAAUAAUACUAUAGGGCCUCGGUUUUAUUUUGUUGGUUUCUAAAGCUGAGGUAAUGAUUAAUAGGGAUAAUUGGGGGUCUUUGUAUUGCAACGUCAGAGGUGAAAUUCUUGGAUUGUUGCACGACAAACUACUGCGAAAGCAUUGGCCAAGGAUGUUUUCAUUGAUCAAGAACGAAAGUAAGGGGAUCGAAGACGAUCAGAUACCGUCGUAGUCUUUACCAUAAACUAUGCCAACUAGAGAUUGGAGGUCGUUUUUUUCUGGACUCCUUCAGCACCUUAUGAGAAAUCAAAGUCUUUGGGUUCCGGGGGGAGUAUGGUCGCAAGGCUGAAACUUAAAG